rnacentral:rRNA from 1 species
GAAAUUCGCCUUCAUGAAGCCGGAAUUGCUAGUAAUGGCAGGUCAGCAUACUGCCGUGAAUACGUUCCCGGGCCUUGUACACACCGCCCGUCACACCAUGAGAGUCGGGAACACCCGAAGUCCGUAGCCUAACCGCAAGGGGGGCGCGGCCGAAGGUGGGUUCGAUAAUUGGGGUGAAGUCGUAACAAGGUACC